rnacentral:tRNA from 1 species
GGGACUGUGGCUCAGUGGUAGAGCGCUUGCCUUGAAUGCGCGAGGCCCUGGGUUCGAUUCCUCGGUACCA